AUGGGCACCUAUGAUGACGAGUACAACCACCUCUACAAAGUUGUCCUAUUGGAGAUUCUGGUCUUGGAAAGAGUAGUCUCCGGUCUUGAAAUGAGUUUCAUUUCGAAAGCAAAAGCAUCACUGGAGUAGAGUUUGCAGUAAGAAGCAUCCUGAUUGAUGGAAAAACAAUAAACAACAGAUAUGGGACGCAGCAGGGCAAGAGCCAUACGGAGCCAUAGCAUCAGCAUGCUGUCGUGGAGCUGUAGGUGCCUUUCUGCUUUAUGACGUUGCUAAUCAGCUCACAUAGGAAAAUGAAGAGUGAUGGCUAAGAGAACUGAGAGAUCAUGCUGAUAGUGGCAUUGGUAUAAUGCUUGUGGGCAAUAAGAGUGAUUUCCGUCAUCUCAGGGCAGUUCCCACAGAUGAAGCAAGAGCAUUUGCAGAAAAGAAUGGUUUGUCAUUCAUUGAGACAUCUGCUCUAGACUCUACAAACAUAGAAGCUUUUCAGGCAAUUCUGACAGAGAUAUGCCGCAUUGUUUCCCAGAAGCAAAUGUCAGACAGCCGUGAAAAUGACAUGUCUCCAAGCAACAGUGUGGUUCCUAUUCACGUGCCACCAACCACUGAAAACAAACCAAAGGUGCAGUGCUGUCAGAACAUACAAGGCAUUUCUCUUGUUCCCUAG